GAGGAAGAUGAUGCCACUAGUGCAUUAGCUGCACCAAAGCCUGAGCCUAAUGAUCAGAGCUUGCAAGUUGGGGAUAAUGUGGUCUUUCAGGAGGGGCAACAGGAUCACAGUUUCCCAUUUGUUGAUCAAUGUAAAAAAGACUCUCCUACAGGAGUUCCCAGCAUGGUGGCUAACGACUUAGAAGGAGCUGGUCACUUGGACUAUAAUCAGUAUGAUUUAUCUCAAAAUUUUGAGUCAAACUUCUAUACUGGUUCUAAUAGCACAGAUUUGUGUGUUGAGGAUGGUGUGCCUCAUGUUUCUGGCUAUCUGCCAAGUAUAUUUCCUCCACCUUCUGCUUUCCUGGGCCCAA
rnacentral:misc_RNA from 1 species